GAUGAACGCUGGCGGCGUGCUUAACACAUGCCAGUCGAACGAAGCAUUUGCGACAGAUUUUUUCGGAAUGAAGUUGCUUAUGACUGAGUGGCGGACGGGUGAGUAACGCGUGGGUAACCUGCCCUGUACUGGGGGAUAGCAGCUGGAAACGGCUGGUAAUACCGCAUAAGCGCACAAUGUUGCAUGACAUGGUGUGAAAAACUCCGGUGGUAUAAGAUGGACCCGCGUCUGAUUAGCUAGUUGGUGAGAUAACAGCCCACCAAGGCGACGAUCAGUAGCCGACCUGAGAGGGUGACCGGCCACAUUGGGACUGAGACACGGCCCAGACUCCUACGGGAGGCAGCAGUGGGGAAUAUUGCACAAUGGAGGAAACUCUGAUGCAGCGACGCCGCGUGAGUGAAGAAGUAAUUCGUUAUGUAAAGCUCUAUCAGCAGGGAAGAUAGUGACGGUACCUGACUAAGAAGCUCCGGCUAAAUACGUG
rnacentral:rRNA from 1 species